rnacentral:rRNA from 1 species
GCAAGUCACUGAGGGUGAGAACCCCGUCCGUGGCCCGGUGAUUGGCUCAGACGUGAGGCGGCCCCAAUGAGUCGGGUUGUUUGGGAAUGCAGCUCAAAAUGGGUGGUAAAUUUCAUCUAAAGCUAAAUAUUGGCAAGAGACCGAUAGCGAACAAGUAGAGUGAUCGAAAGAUGAAAAGCACUUUGAAAAGAGAGUGAAACAGUGCGUGAAAUUGUUGAAAGGGAAGCGCUUGGCAUCAGCCCAUGACUUUUGUCCAUCAUCCUGGCUUCUGCCUGGUGCUAUGGUCAAGAGUUGGGCCAGCGUCGGCUCCUUCCGCCCUAGAAAGGCCUUGGGGACGUGGCUCCAUCUGGAGCGUUAUAACCCUUGGCGGCAUGGGGUGAGAUGGGGCCGAGGUCCGCGGCAUAGCCCAGGACGCUGGCGUAAUGGUCCCAAGCGACCCGUCUUGAAACACGGACCAAGGAGUCUAACAUCUAUGCGAGUGUUUGGGUGUCAGGCCCGGCCGCGCAAUGAAAGUGAAAGGGGCGGGAGCCUAGAGGCGCACCG